rnacentral:rRNA from 1 species
UUGACCUCGGAUCAGGUAGGAAUACCCGCUGAACUUAAC